rnacentral:rRNA from 1 species
CAAACUGGAGAUGGCGACCGGCGCACGGGUGAGUAACACGUAUCCAACCUGCCGAUAACUCGGGGAUAGCCUUUCGAAAGAAAGAUUAAUACCCGAUGGCAUAAUAGAACCGCAUGGUUUGAUUAUUAAAGAAUUUCGGUUAUCGAUGGGGGUGCGUUCCAUUAGGCAGUUGGUGGGGUAACGGCCCACCAAACCUUCGAUGGAUAGGGGUUCUGAGAGGAAGGUCCCCCACAUUGGAACUGAGACACGGUCCAA